ensembl:lncRNA
GAAAAAACAAAGCAGGAUGGCUGGGCUGUAGGGAUCUGCAGAUGCUGUUUUGUGAUCGUGGAAGACGUUUGGAAGGGUGAGGAGUGGGGCAGUCACCCGGGCAGGAGCACUGAGGGCGAGAUCUCAUUGGCGCUUCUCUCCAUUUUGGAAGGCCACCUUGUGCUGUAGAGCAAGGCUCAGCCCUCCACUUCAAGGAAUCAACUCUUCUGCUUCAAUUGACAUUUAGUGGGUGUUGCAAAUGCAACUUAACUUUGACUCUGACUUUUCCUCUGAAAAAUGGCUGUGGCUUUCAAUCUGUGGGAAGUCCGUCUUAGUCAGAAUCGAAGCUAUUUUCAGCAUAGAGUGUACCUAGGUCUGGGCUUAUACAAAGGUGCCUUUGUAGUGCAUUCUCCUGGAAACUCCUGGGACAGAAUUCAUCCAGGAAAAGAGAACCCAGGCCCCAUGAGUGGCCCACAGCAGGUGUCUUGGAGUCAUAAUCUAGCAACCUGCCUCUCAGGGCCCAUCUCUCAGAUUUCCUUCUGGUUCAGCCACGGGGACGCCUGAAAGUCUGUUCAAGAGCAGCUUAUCCAGAAUCUAGGUGAGACCUAGAAGCCCACGUCACAGCAGCAUUGGAACCCACAUUGUAGAAUGUCACCCCAGGAGAAACAGAGGGUUCUCCCCAGUGACAGAGAAGGUGGAGUGCUUUGGUGCCACUUUGGGCAGUUUGGGGCAGCUUUGGCAGCCUGUGGCUUCAGUGGCAGCAGCCACCGGGGAGGGUGGCAUUGGCAAUAGCAGGAGGUCAGACACACAGUGGCUUUAUGGAACCCUGUGUGGCUUGAUCAUACCUUUUCAAUCUGUUGAUGCACUUUCAUGGGCAUGAGCAACUUCUGCUGUAGUUCUUUCUAGAAAUCCAGGGCUAUAGAGGAAAAAAUGGUGUACCCCCAGGCUAGCUGAGAGGACAGUCUCCCGAGUACAUACCAGAUACCUCCAAAGGACUCCCAGAAACUGUUGGGGGGACUUUGAAGAUGGAGAGGGCUAAGGGGCCUGCAAUAGCAGGCUGGAAAAAAUUACGGAUAUUGUGUGUGAACCUCUUUCCCUCAGGCCAGUGCUUCCUGAGAGACUAGGCUUACACACAGAUUAAGAACAGGUGAGGUUUUCUUUUUCCACUUUUUCACAGCAUCCCUGGCAUUCCAUUUGGUAAUGAGCACAAGCUGCAGCAGCAAUGACGGAAUGGUCUUCUGACAUCAUCCCUGCCCAUUUAUUGGUUUGACACUUGUUCGGCUCAAUGCAGCCUGUUGAGGCCUCUGCAGAGUCAGUCUGUUAGAGCCUGUCAGCAUGAGGGGAUGUGUGCUUCCAGAGCUGAUAGUACAAACAGGAAAUGUUGGAUUGAGUUUUGUUAGAAGCCUCAAAGCUGAGAACAGUACAACGGUUGCCCAGGACAGCCUCAUCUGGAGCAAGGGGCUAGACUCCCCACUUACAGAACAUGCUCAUGAAUUGUGAAGCUUGUCCUGCCAGCUUCAGCCCAAGAGCCGUGCCUAGGCUAUAGAAGAAGAGAUGAAAGAGGUUAAUAGAAAACUUAACUCAAUCUGGAUGAAACAAGUGGAAUUUGUUGCCUCUUAGCCAAUAAAAUGGAAGUCCAAAGGUAUUUAUGGAGCAUUGUUUUAUGGUGAUGAAUAGGACAGGGAAAGCCUCUGUUUUCAUGGUGCUCAUACGUUCAAGGAAGAGAGUCACCAAAUUCUGCCUGCAGAGCUUACAGCCUUGUGCCUUCCACUCAGGAGGUGUUCAAUCAACAGUUGUUAAACGAGGGAUGAUGAUCUCAUAUAGACCUACAGAAUCUCAGAGCUGAGGAUUAUCAACCACAUUAUACAGAAAGGUCGAGUCACUUGACUAAGGAGGACGAUGAGCCAAGAGCGCAGUUGGAGUUCAGUCAGAUGGAGCAUUCCUGGUGCUGCCUCCUUGCGUGAAAGAUAUUGUCAUGAGAAAGUCACAUGCAAAUGAAGGAGGCUGUAAUUAGGAGAGGAAAAAUAACAUCACCAUGGGAGACGUUGGCUGAGAGGUUCAGGAAGAUUUGUGCACUGAACAAAGGUUGCAGUCUCUCUGUAUGGAAGACAUCAGGAACUAUUCCUCUCAUGACUUUAUUAAAUUGGCCUGAAUUAUCAGCAACUGUGAUCCCUCAGUCCAGGAGAAGAAAGCUUCUUAAAGAGCAGCCCUAUAGAGAGGCCCAAGCAGCAAGGAGCUGAUAUCUCCAGCCAACAGCCAACAAGGACCUGUGGCCUGUCUGCAGUCAUAUGAGGAGCUUGAACUUCUGAACAUUUACUCAAAGAGAGUGACAAGAUCUCUGGCCUGGAGGGACAGGUAUUUUCAGCUCUAAUGGUCCCCAAGCAGUGGAGACAGAGAUGGGACAGUGAGGACCUGAGGCCAAAAAUCCUAGCUCUGAGAGCUGUUGAGGGUGUGUGCCAGAUGCUGCAAAGAGAAAAAGACUCAACUCUUCCUAAAGAGUUCACAAAAAAUUGGGGGAAUAACACAUCAGAUGACUCAAUUUCAUCGAAUGGAACCCACUCACCCCCGAAAGCAUCUAAUACUCAGCCAGUUCCAACAGAACAAUGGUAACAUGGUGGUCAGUAGGGCUGUCCCUUCUGGGAACAUGGCAGGACUGCCCUUCCCUCUCCUUUGAAGCUAGGUGUGGCCAUGUGACUUGGUUUGGCCAAUGAAACGUGAGUGGAAGUGACAUGUACCCCUCCUGAGAAGAAGCUUUAAGAGAGGCCUCCUCAUCUCCAGGCUUACAUUCCGAUGCAAGGCAACUACGGAGGAAAGAAAAAUCCCUCUCCCAAAAUUCUAGCAAAAGGUCUUUAGAGAACCAUCCCUCCCCAACCUUCAGUCCAUAUCAUUUAGUGUGACUUUCCCUGAAAAGGAGCAAAUGGUGCUGGGCAGGCAAUGGCAACAUGUCCCUGCACAUGUGGAAUGACAGAGGCCGUGGAUAACUGAGAACUUCUGUGAAGCUGACAAAGAGCCUGAGAACUCUAAAAUCUGCAGUUGCCAGAGUGGUAAAAAUAAACAACAACCCCCAAAAUGAAUACCAGAUCUGUUGUCAAACAUCAUCAUGGAAUCGAAGAUGGCAAAGUUCCAGAUGGAAAUCCUUGGGCUUGCACGAGUGUUGGAAGGAUUUCUUAGUUGUAUUUCCUUUUUGUCCUCGCUCUUCCUUGCCUGAGUUCCUCUUACUGUCCAUUCCUCAGCUGUGCUGCAUGCUGAGUUUCAUGCGCAGAUGCAUUUUCCCCAGACCCGCAGACACCAGACACACACACACUCUUUGCUUUUGUCUUCCGAGUGGUGGUAAAGGGAGCUCUGGCUUAGGGGUCAGGAGCCCUGGCCUCUCAUUCAGCUCUGCUCCCCGUGAACUUCAGAGCACCACCACAUUGCUUUGGAUCUGUGUCCCCAUCUGAAAAACGUGGCCUUGGACCAGAUAAUUCCAGACACUCUUCCUACUUUCACACUGUUCUUGGUUCCAGCUCCCCUCUCCCACAAGGCUCCAGCUUCCUCUCUUAAUUCCACCCUCUGGCCCAGAGCCCUGGACCCUUCCCUGAGCUCAGCACGGCCCCAGCCCCAGCCCCACAGUGUACCCCCUCCCCGUGGCUCCCCGGUGCUCCGAGCAGCUGCUCCCCUGCAUUCCACCAGCAGCACCUGCAAAUUCUCAGGCCUGUCCUUAAAACAGGCAAUAUCUUCCAGCCAUUCAUUCAUGCCUCAUGCCUCAAAUGGGAUCCUUUAAAGGCAAAAAUGCAGAAACUUAUAUAAAUACUCACUCAAAUAAAACAAGAGCAUACAAGACACCGUGGCAUGUUGCCAAGAAAAUACCCAAGUCGGCCUUGAGGCCUUAUUUCGCACAGCUCGCUGCCUUCAUGGCAGAGUGGUUUAGUGGGUGAGAGACACAUCUGGAGUCUGACAGGGCCAGGCUUGCCACCAGGGUUGGUCUGCCACUUGGCUGCCGGGUCACCUUGCACGAGGUUCUUAAUCUCGCAAUGCGCCUCAGUUCCUUAUAGUAAAACGGUGGUGGUAACCACAGCCCCUGGUUUCCCUCCUGGGGCUGUGAGGGUGAGAGGAGAUCAUGCGUGUAAGGCACGUGCAUGGGGCUGGCCCCCAGCAGGCUCGUUGAUCACUGGACAUUAUUAUCUUCUGCAACAAGAAGCUCUAUGGAAUAUUACAGAGCUUUUAAAGAAAGCGAGCUCAGGCCGUGCUCAACAAUAAAAGCAAGGUGAAGAACA